rnacentral:rRNA from 1 species
GACGAACCGUGCGAACGCUGUUCGGAAUCACUGGGCAUAAAGGGCGCGUAGGCGGCUUUUCAAGUCAGGGGUGAAAUCCGGCAGCUCAACUGUCGAAGUGCCCUUGAUACUGACGAGCUCGAGGGAGGUAGGGGUGUGUGGAACUUCCGGUGGAGCGGUGAAAUGCGUUGAUAUCGGAAGGAACGCCGGUGGCGAAAGCGACGCACUGGACCUCUUCUGACGCUGAGGCGCGAAAGCGUGGGUAGCAAACAGG